rnacentral:tRNA from 1 species
GCCGGCUUAGCUCAGUUGGUAGAGCACCUGAUUUGUAAUCAGGGGGUCGCGAGUUCGAACCUUGCAGCCGGCACCA